rnacentral:rRNA from 1 species
UACGGAAUGUGCAAACGUUAUUCGGAAUCACUGGGCUUAAAGAGUCCGUAGGCGGCUUGUUAGGUGAGGUGUGAAAUCCCUCGGCCCAACCGAGGAAUUGCGCUUCAAACCGGCAAGCUAGAGGAGGAUAGAGGUGGGCGGAACUGAUGGUGGAGCGGUGAAAUGCGUUGAUAUCAUCAGGAACACCGGAGGCGAAGGCGGUCCACUGGGUCCUAUCUGACGCUGAGGGACGAAAGCUAGGGGAGCGAACCGG